AAGAGACCUUCACAGGCGCUUGGCACAUGCAUGAGAGAACAGGCGAGAAGGAGGUCAAUGAAGGAAAUGAUGCGUGAGGUCACAUGCCUGCUGCAGCCCCCUUCUUUGGGCUGAAUUGUGUUCUCCGUUAUGUGACUUCCAAGUCAACCUGGAAUCAUGCAGCCAUGAGAGAUGGGGAAAGGCUGGAAAACCAAUCAGGCUACGGGAUAUUUUACAGUGUCAACAGCCAGGCAUGGAAAUGUCAUAGAUCACAUCCACCCAUACUCCACUGGGCAAAGUAAGUCACUUGGCACCUCUUAGAUGCAAAGGAUGCUGGGAAAUGUCACUUAUUCAUGUGCCCAGAGAGGAGAGGAGAACUGAAUGGGGGUGAACUUUAGCAUUCUCUACCACACCCCAACAGGCUCUACUCCCUUCAUCAUAAAAAUGACAAUUUUGAGAAUCAAAGCAUGUCACUAAGUUGCCCAAAACACACAGCCAAUAAUCAAUAGAGCCGAGAGGAAAAUUGGGCAUUGUAGAAACUGAAUCGUGAUGGUGGGGGAAGGGGUGUAAAACUAAGGCCCUUGAACCCAGGUGAGCCAUCUAACCUGCCUCAAAGAGUCGUGAGCUCCGUCACUGGAAGAAGGCAAACAGAGGCUGAUCACUUGGUGGAGAUAUUAAGAAUCAAGUUUUCCAUCAGA